UACCCCAUAGACUAUGGAUGCUGGAAUGCUCUGUAGUUGAAAGGUCCGCCGCCAUAGGAUGGGUCUGCGGCCGAUUAGGUUGUUGUUGGGGUAACGGCCCAACAAGCCUGUAAUCGGUACGGGUUGUGGGAGCAAGAGCCCGGAGAUGGAUUCUGAGACACGAAUCCAGGCCCUACGGGGCGCAGCAGGCGCGAAAACUUUACAAUGCGGGAAACCGUGAUAAGGGAACUCCGAGUGCCCGUAAAAUCGGGCUGUCCAUCUGUUUAAAUAACAGGUGAAGAAAGGGCCGGGCAAGACCGGUGCCAGCCGCCGCGGUAAUACCGGCGGCUCGAGUGGUGGCCACUAUUACUGGGCUUAAAGCGUUCGUAGCUGGUUUGUUAAGUCUCUGGGGAAAUCUGCCGGCUCAACCGGCAAGCGUUCCAGGGAUACUGGCAGACUAGGGACCGGGAGAGGUGAGGGGUACUCCAGGGGUAGGAGUGAAAUCCUGUAAUCCUUGGGGGACCACCUGUGGCGAAGGCGCCUCACCAGAACGGCUCCGACAGUGAGGGACGAAAGCUGGGGGAGCAAACCGGAUUAGAUACCCGGGUAGUCCCAGCCGUAAACGAUGCGCGUUAGGUGUAUCGGUGACCACGAGUCACCGAGGUGCCGAAGAGAAAUCGUGAAACGUGCCGCCUGGGAAGUACGGUCGCAAGGCUGAAACUUAAAGGAAUUGGCGGGGGAGCACCACAACAGGUGGAGCCUGCGGUUUAAUCGGACAACGCCGGAAAUCUCACCGGA
rnacentral:rRNA from 1 species